UACUUCCUUUUAGAAUUACCCCAUUUUAAAUGGGUAACUUUCAGAUUCUGAACUUAGUAUUUUUCCCAAGCAUUCCAGGGUUGCAUUAUAAAAGAUCAAAAGAUUUCCAGGUAGUAAUACAAUUUUCUUUAAAACAUGGACACUUUAACUGUUAGGUUUAACAUUAAUGUUAGUAUUUUUACAAUAAAUCACAGAAAACAAUAAUGGUUUUCAUUAAAAACUUUUUCAAAUAUUUUAUCCUCAGUUUGAUUGCAAACACUUUCCUCCAUUAUUUGUGAUAUAUCCUUCUGUUUAAUUUUUUCCUUCUAGCAUAAUGUUUAGGAAAAAUAUGAAUACAUUAUAAUUGAAGGCAACACACAAAAAGAAACCCUAUUCAGUUCAUUGUUGUAGAAGGAUAGCUAUUAUAUGAUACGCUGGAGUUUGUUUUAUCCUAUUAUUUUUUCAAAGAGGAGCAUGGCUUUUUCUUAAAUACAUUUCAAUUCAGAAUUGCUUGAAAAAGAUUGGCCUGGAUAGAAAGACAUCCUGUAUUUGGGAUGGUACCACCUUAAAGGUAUGACUAAAGCUAAAAUCAUUUUAAAAUACUCAACUUUCCUAGUUGGAAUGUGUUACCUUUUCUUCUCUUUCAUUUUCUGGCCAUAAGUUAGAGGUCCUUAGAAUGUUAGGAAGUUACCAUUUUUUACUUUCAAAAUUGCAUUAUAGUGAAUUACUGUUUACAAAAUACACAUACUGUGAACAGAUUUAAGUUUUUGUCUUUUAUAAGGUUGUUUGUAGAAUGAGUGUUUUUUUAAAAGGGGAUGUUAUAUGUUAAAUAUUUUCAGUUUUUUAUAAAUACUAGUAACUGUUUACUAAUUUUUGUUUGGUGAGGUGUGUGCAAAUAUAGCCGAAAGAUAGGGAGAAACUGCAGAUCCGAAACUGUUCCCUUUUUCAUUUCUUGAAAUGUUACCACUACAGACUUUUUUUUUUAACCUGAAUGAUCAGUUGUGAUGUUCUCUACCUAAAAUCAUGCUUAGUCAUAUCAGGAAACCUUUAAAUGUACAUGUACAGGAAGUGAACUGUAGAUUGCAGUAUAUUUGUGUGAUUCAGUCUCGUUCACAGAAUUCUGAGUUUAAUAUGGAAUAAAACAGCUCCACUUACAGAGAUGACAACUGAAGUACUUUCUGCCUUAGGAAAAUUUGGAGAUUAUGUUGCUGUUAGAGUGGAAAAUUUGGACAUUUUAUAUCGUCGUAUAAUUUCAGAAUUUAGUUUCCAUAUCUUUUGGAAAACAUGGUUAUAGCAAGAACAUAGAAUAGAGGUAACCUGUUACUAAGACACCUAAAAUGUAAAACUAGUAUGCUUGGCUGUUAACUUUAAAGAUGUUACUUAUGUUUGUUUUUAAAACAUGCAUGUAUUUAACAAUUUUAUCAUAGUAUUGUCAUGGAAAAAAAUAAAUAUAUUUUCUUACAACUUACACUGA
rnacentral:lncRNA from 1 species